GCUUAAGUGGGGUAGUGGUAACCUGGGUCGUUGCCAUACAAUGAACUCGACCCGCCCGGCGUUCGAUUCGCCGCUUAAGCA